rnacentral:rRNA from 1 species
UACGUAGGGGGCAAGCGUUGUCCGGAUUUAUUGGGCGUAAAGCGCUCGCAGGCGGCUAACCACGUCAUGCGUGAAACACCCCGGCUCAACUGGGGAGGGUCGUGUGAUACGGGUCAGCUUGAGGCCAGUAGGGGGAUGCGGAAUUCCGGGUGUAGUGGUGGAAUGCGUAGAGAUCCGGAGGAACACCAGCGGCGAAGGCGGCAUCCUGGACUGGAACUGACGCUCAUGAGCGAAAGCGUGGGGAGCGAUCCGG